rnacentral:tRNA from 1 species
AGCUCAGCUGGGAGAGCGCCUGCCUUGCACGCAGGAGAUCGCGGGUUCGAUUCCCGUCGGGACCGCCA